AUGCUGCCAUGUUCUGUUAAUGGGGUAGGAUCCGAGACUCCUUUCGGGGUUACACAGGCUUUCCUAUAGAACUCCUAUUCCGUCACGUCCUCGUCGCACAGAGUGGUAACUUUCCCCACCACAUAUCCAAGCUUGGGAUGUCUCGGGCCUGUCUCAACCCCUUGGGCGGAUGGAGGUGCAAGGCUUAACAGGAGGGG
rnacentral:ribozyme from 1 species